CCGUGGAGCAUGCAAGGAAAGGGGAAAAGGUUCCAAACCCUUGGCGUUAAUUCAAAUCCACGUAACUUUUGAUUUGGAGCUCUGAUUGACGAUCCGUUUGCGGCCACGCGACCACAGCAUCGAACUCUACAAAGCCCAGUACAUUGUAAGGAUCAAAUUAACUUGGUGGACUUGCCGAGUCUUGUCCCAAUUUCCCAUUGGUAAGUUAGGUGUAUAUAUAUUGAUUGGAGCUUGAUUAGUGGACACUUGAGACUUGGUGGAGGUUGGGUGACAUUGCCUUGGUGAUUCCGGAUCUCUUAGGGCUGUGUUCGGUGCAUUAGUGGAUUGUCUCAGGUAAUACGUGAAAAUCGGUCAAGAUGCAGGUCGAGAGGCACCUCGUUAGGCGUCUGGAGCUUUUGCAGUGAAGUGGUUUCUUUUGGGGUUUCUUUUGAUCGUUUGAUAUAUGUAUAUAUAGAUUCUCCUCUGAUAUAUUUGUUUAUUUUGCUCCUCCUAGAGGAUUAUGGAGAACUAGGGUUUUAUAUAUGUAUUUUUUGAUAUCGAGUUAUGUUUAUAUGUAUGUAAAUACUCUCCGGCCAACAUUGGCUUCGCAGGCUGAGUUAGGAGCUUGUUAUCUUGUAUCCUUGACCCUCUAUUCCUACUUUUUGUUUGAUUAUACUUAUGAACUUUAGUUUUC